UACGUAGGGGGCAAGCGUUGUCCGGAUUUAUUGGGCGUAAAGAGCGUGUAGGCGGCCAGGUAGGUCGGUUGUGAAAACUCGAGGCUCAACCUCGAGAUGUCGACCGAAACCAUCUGGCUAGAGUCCGGAAGAGGAGAAUGGAAUUCCCGGUGUAGCGGUGAAAUGCGCAGAUAUCGUAAGGAAGACCAGUGGCGAAGGCGGGUCUCUGGACAGUUCCUGACGCUGAGGCACGAAGGUCAGGGGAGCAAACGGG
rnacentral:rRNA from 1 species